AUUAGCCCUGGUGGAACCCUUUUAACCCUGCUUCUUUUAACUACAUGGGAUCCAUGGUCUCCUUGCAAUGCUUGAAUGCUAAUUCCUGCACAGCUUCAGGCCUAUGGACCGUUUCCGCCAGCGCGUUCCCUGCCUCGGCACACAGACACACGCUCGCUUUGCCCGAGCAAACAGAAGUGCUGACGUGGUCCCCGGUCAGGAUUCCCGCAAUGCUGAAACCUCCCAGUGCCCAGCCUUUCCAAGUUACUCACUGCCAUAGCUUACCACUUUCCCCUGCCUGACUUGGGCACUCCCAGGUCUGAACUGAGCACAGCAGUGCAGAAGGGUCUCAUCCGUUUCAUGAUGGAUCCCAGAAAGCAGCAGUCAAAAUGAAAAUCUCCACGUAAAGCAGCUAACUUAUCCUCCCUGUGGGCAGGAAGGCCACGAGCACUGCGAGAAGGGUAACAGGCUUGGGCUCUCUGCUUUGAGUGCCAAAGCACGUACAAGGAAGGCCCGCUGGUCUCGCACGAGCCCCUUGGUGCGACCUCUGCCUCACCACGAACUCGGAAGCUGCCUGGACACGUGCACGUUGACAGUGUCUCGGAAGCAUGCCGGAGCAACGCGUGCUUCCAGCAUCUGAGGGGAAGCCUGGAAGGACUAGCACAGGUUUUCAGAGAAAAAAGAGUGAUGCCACAUCCCAGACAAUCUUUGAAACUCAAGAAGAGACCAUCAGCGCAGGACCUGCUGUUACUCGGGCACGGGCUGCAGCAUGAAGCACCCGCCGCGCUCCUCUAGCCCGCAGCAUCCUGCCCCGCGCGGCUCCGCUUGCUCUAUUUUUCUGCCCUUUGGCCGGGAGGGAGCGCAGGUCACAGCACUCCUUGUGCUCACGGAAAGGUUUAGGGACUUUCAUUCUGCAAGACCGCGUGUGCAUGCUCGCUCACACACACAGGCACGUGCAAACGCACCGAGCAGCCUUCCUCUCCUCCUCUGCGUUUUCGGGGAGCAGCUGCAGCAAGGGCUCGGGGCGCGCAUCCGCACUGCCGGCCGCACCACAUCUGCUCACGGCGCUGUGCUACCGCGUGACUCAUGGCAGAGAAAGUUGCAGUUCAAAGGGUGGGAGGUGAAGAGACGUGUGAAAAACGGCUGGCAAAGUAAUGUGAUUAACACGAGCAAGGCUGUGUAAAUCAUGAUAUUGCGGGUGUCUUUUUGCUACUCUCACCCACUAAAAGCAAUAAACAAAAGCAUAAGCAA